ensembl:lncRNA
CUGUUGGUUUAUUUAUCGGUAGAGCAGCAGAACAUUUUCCACAGACAGUUUUCCUGCCUGUUGGCUUGUUUUAACCAGUUUUCUGCCUUCGGCUGAUUCUACCAGCAGACACUGAAAGGACUCUGAUAGUUCGCCGCCAGGAGCUGGGUCUUUAAAAUAACCGCCGUCUCGUUACAGAGUGAAAGUAGCAGUUCCUCCUUAAGGUCAGAGAUUGCAGCAUCUGAGGGCCUCUUCAAAAGGAGACGUAGUUGAUGAAGACGUUCUGGAGCAGGACCAGAAAGACCACGACCAAGCAGCCUUGAGAUCUUAGGCAGCGUCUCCCUCAGGUCCCUCUCUAUCUCCCUACACAUCCACCAACCACUGGAACACAUCUCCAAAGUUCUGCCGGGCCAGCUCAGCUUCCCCUCAGAAGAAGUGCUGCCACCUGCCAGAUGAAGGAGCCUUUUGAGAGGCA